UUAGUUGCAGGGUAUAGACCCGAAACCCGGUGAUCUAGCCAUGGGCAGGUUGAAGGUUGGGUAACACUAACUGGAGGACCGAACCGACUAAUGUUGAAAAAUUAGCGGAUGACUUGUGGCUGGGGGUGAAAGGCCAAUCAAACCGGGAGAUAGCUGGUUCUCCCCGAAAGCUAUUUAGGUAGCGCCUCGUGAAUUCAUCUCCGGGGGUAGAGCACUGUUUCGGCUAGGGGGUCAUCCCGACUUACCAACCCGAUGCAAACUGCGAAUACCGGAGAAUGUUAUCACGGGAGACACACGGCGGGUGCUAACGUUCGUCGUGAAGAGGGAAACAACCCAGACCGCCGGCUAAGGUCCCAAAGUCAUAAUUAAGUGGGAAACGAAGUGGGAAGGCUCAGACAGCCAGGAUGUUGGCUUAGAAGCAGCCAUCAUUUAAAGAAAGCGUAAUAGCUCACUGGUCGAGUCGGCCUGCGCGGAAGAUGUAACGGGGCUAAAUUAUGCACCGAAGCCGCGGCAGCGAUAUGUAAAUAUUGUUGGGUAGGGGAGCGUUCUGUAAGCCUGUGAAGGUGACCUGUGAGGGUUGCUGGAGGUAUCAGAAGUGCGAAUGCUGACAUAAGUAACGAUAAUGCGGGUGAAAAACCCGCACGCCGGAAGACCAAGGGUUCCUGUCCAACGUUAAUCGGGGCAGGGUGAGUCGACCCCUAAGGCGAGGCUGAAAAGCGUAGUCGAUGGGCAACGGGUUAAUAUUCCCGUACUGGUGGUAACUGCGAAGGGGGGACGGAGAAAGCUAAAUCAUCCGGGCGACGGUUGUCCCGGUUUAAGCGUGCAGGUGGACUGACCAGGCAAAUCCGGUCGGUUGUUAACACUGAGGCGUGACGACGAGCCACUACGGUGGUGAAGUGAUUGAUGCUCUGCUUCCGGGAAAAGCCUCUAAGCUCCAGGUUAUCAUUAAUCGUACCCCAAACCGACACAGGUGGUCAGGUAGAGAAUACUCAGGCGCUUGAGAGAACUCGGGUGAAGGAACUAGGCAAAAUGGUGCCGUAACUUCGGGAGAAGGCACGCUGGCACUAGGUGAAGUGGUUUACCCAUGGAGCUGAAGCCAGCCGCAGAUACCAGCUGGCUGCAACUGUUUAUUAAAAACACAGCACUGUGCAAACACGAAAGUGGACGUAUACGGUGUGACGCCUGCCCGGUGCCGGAAGGUUAAUUGAUGAGGUCAGCCGCAAGGCGAAGCUUCUGAUCGAAGCCCCGGUAAACGGCGGCCGUAACUAUAACGGUCCUAAGGUAGCGAAAUUCCUUGUCGGGUAAGUUCCGACCUGCACGAAUGGCGUAAUGAUGGCCAGGCUGUCUCCACCCGAGACUCAGUGAAAUUGAACUCGCUGUGAAGAUGCAGUGUACCCGCGGCAAGACGGAAAGACCCCGUGAACCUUUACUAUAGCUUGACACUGAACAUUGAGCCUUGAUGUGUAGGAUAGGUGGGAGGCAACGAAGUGUGGACGCCAGUCUGCACGGAGCCAUCCUUGAAAUACCACCCUUUAACGUUUGAUGUUCUAACCCGGGUCCAUAAUCUGGAUCGGGGACCGUGUCUGGUGGGUAGUUUGACUGGGGCGGUCUCCUCCCAAAGAGUAACGGAGGAGCACGAAGGUUGGCUAAGCAUGGUCGGACAUCAUGCGGUUAGUGCAAAGGCAUAAGCCAGCUUGACUGCGAGAGUGACGGCUCGAGCAGGUACGAAAGUAGGUCUUAGUGAUCCGGUGGUUCUGAAUGGAAGGGCCAUCGCUCAACGGAUAAAAGGUACUCCGGGGAUAACAGGCUGAUACCGCCCAAGAGUUCAUAUCGACGGCGGUGUUUGGCACCUCGAUGUCGGCUCAUCACAUCCUGGGGCUGAAGUAGGUCCCAAGGGUAUGGCUGUUCGCCAUUUAAAGUGGUACGCGAGCUGGGUUUAGAACGUCGUGAGACAGUUCGGUCCCUAUCUGCCGUGGGCGCUGGAAGAUUGAGAGGGGUUGCUCCUAGUACGAGAGGACCGGAGUGAACGCACCACUGGUGUACGGGUUGUGAUGCCAAUUGCAUUGCCCGGUAGCUAAGUGCGGAAGAGAUAACCGCUGAAAGCAUCUAAGCGGGAAACUUGCCUCGAGAUGAGUCUUCCCUGA
rnacentral:rRNA from 1 species